UUUAAUUUCCAUGUAAGGAAAUUAUUAUCCUACCUCAGACACUGUCAUUUCUUACAAUGGAACAAUUAUAUCCACCCCAAUCCCAGAGCAUUCAACUUUUAUAAAUUUCUUCUAAAACAUUACCAUUAUAAUCAAUGGAUUGUAUCCUUUAGUUAUCCUCACCGACCUUAUAUCAUUAUAGCAUUCCAUCAAGACCUUAGACCUCAAAUUUACCCUGUACAUAUCUAUUUCACCCAACAUCCUCAAAUCCAAACCAUUGGAUGGUAUGAUUCUAAUCUCUUGAAUUUUUGGAUAUUUUAAACAGAAUUAUAGAAAGAGUUAAAAAUUCUCAUGUGCUACAUUAACAGAAUCCAGCCAGAAUGGAUUCUUUUGGAUGUCUAUACAGAAACCACAGUUUGGAAUGAUGAGACUCAUCGAGGAGCUGCACUGCUACACCAACUUCACAUAUGGCUUGCUGAUCAUCCUCGUCCUGCAGAAAUACAGACAUAUAGUUCCAGUGAUGAUACCUAUAUUAGACCCUCACACAGCCUGUCCAAUCCAUCUGCACCAAGCUACGAUUCCGAUGGUUAUCCCCUCAAUUAUGACACUGAUUGAAGACCACUGUUCAACAUCACUGUGGAUAUCACUAUUCUGUUGACAACACUGUUCAAAAUCACUGUGGAUAUCACUAUUCUGUCGGCAACACUGUUUAAAAUCACUGUAGAUAUCACUGUUCAAGAUAAGCAAGAAUCUCCACUGUUCACUGUUUAUGUUGGCUACCUGGCCAGUGUUCACUAUUUAUGUCGGCCACCUGUCCACUGUUCAUUGUUUAUGUCGGCCACCUGUCCACUGUACGUCUACUCUUACUAUUCAUAAUGACCACUUGUCUUAGCCAGUUGUCUUCCUUUAUUUUUGUUUUAAAUCCAGAUUUCAAGUUCGGCGCCUAUAUAACGCCUUUUAAGUCAGUUGUAAUUGUUUAAUAAUGCAUGUACGCUUGGGUGUGAGUAUAUCGACAUGUCUGCUUGCAUGUUCCCAUGCAGGUGAUGCAUGUGUUUGUAUUUUCAUGCAACACACACUUGGGCACAUGCAAAAUACAUAUUUAUAUAUGAUUUUACAUGUUCGCAUUGAGGAAAGAAUUAGAAAUAAAAUUCAAACAAGAUAGGAGAAUGUAACAUGAUAAAAGACAGUGUAUAUGUCUGCUUGCAUGUUCCCAUGCAGGUGAUGCAUGUGGUUGUAUUUUCAUGCGACACACACUUGGCCAAGCACAUGCAAAAUACAUAUUUAUAUAUGAUUUUACAUGUUCGCAUUGAGGAAAGAAUUAGAAAUAAAAUUCAAACAAGAUAGGAG
rnacentral:lncRNA from 1 species